ACAUGUUCAUCAGCAAUGUCUGUUAACAAGGAAGACAACAACUCCCAUGAUCCCACGCAAAUUCACAAUGUCAUCAAAAGGUCCAUGUUCUCAUCCGUGAUUUCUAUUAAGAGACCCCUAGCGGCAGAGAAUGACAUAUUGU